CUUUGCUUCUUUAAAACUUGCUCCACACAGUGUAGUCAAGCCGACUCUCCUUACCAGAACCAUUAAGCUGGUCCAGGCAAGUUGGACUCCACCUAAGAAAUAAGAGUGGUCUUAGAAUAGCCACAGAUGAGUGUUCACCCCCUGCCAAAACUAACAAAUGCCUUUAGUCAGUUAGAGCUAAUUAAGACCUUCAUGUUCAGUCAGCAUUUGCUUAUCAUCAUCCAGGCUGCAUUUACAAACUUUCUUAUUAAUCAUAACAAGACAAGAAUCCGCCAUUUAUUUAAUGCAUUCAGCACUAGGAGGUAACUAAAAAGCCAUUUGUGCCGUAGGAAGUUUGCCCAGUUACCUGCUUACUUGGAUACAGUUUCACUUACCAUUUCAACUUCCAGCUUUCUGUCUAAUGC
rnacentral:lncRNA from 1 species